UUUGGUAUCUUAGUGGCGGACGGGUGAGUAACGCGUGGGUAACCUGCCUUACACUGGGGGAUAACACUUAGAAAUAGGUGCUAAUACCGCAUAACAGGGAAAGAUGCAUGUCUUUUCCUUGAAAACUCCGGUGGUGUAAGAUGGACCCGCGUCUGAUUAGCUGGUUGGCGGGGUAACGGCCCACCAAGGCGACGAUCAGUAGCCGGCCUGAGAGGGUGAACGGCCACAUUGGGACUGAGACACGGCCCAAACUCCUACGGAAGGCAGCAG
rnacentral:rRNA from 1 species